GCUUGGAUAGCUCAGUUGGUAGAGCACUUGCCCGCGCAAGGCAAAGGUCCCGAGUUCGAGUCUCGGUCCGGCACGCA
rnacentral:tRNA from 1 species